rnacentral:rRNA from 1 species
UACGUAGGGUGCAAGCGUUAAUCGGAAUUACUGGGCGUAAAGCGUGCGCAGGCGGUUCGCUAAGACCGAUGUGAAAUCCCCGGGCUCAACCUGGGAAUGGCAUUGGUGACUGCACGGCUAGAGUGUGUCAGAGGGGGGUAGAAUUCCACGUGUAGCAGUGAAAUGCGUAGAGAUGUGGAGGAAUACCGAUGGCGAAGGCAGCCCCCUGGGAUAACACUGACGCUCAUGCACGAAAGCGUGGGGAGCAAACAGG